rnacentral:rRNA from 1 species
GGAAUAUUGCGCAAUGGAGGAAACUCUGACGCAGUGACGCCGCGUAUAGGAAGAAGGUUUUCGGAUUGUAAACUAUUGUCAUGAGGGAAGAAAUUGACAGUACCUCAGGAGGAAGCUCCGGCUAACUAUGUGCCAGCAGCCGCGGUAAUACAUAGGGAGCAAGCGUUAUCCGGAAUUAUUGGGUGUAAAGGGUGCGUAGACGGGAAUGUAAGUUGGUUGUGAAAUCCCUCGGCUUAACUGAGUGAAUUGCAACCAAAACUGUAUUUCUUGAGUACUGGAGGGGAAAGUGGAAUUCCUAGUGUAGCGGUGAAAUGCGUAGAUAUUAGGAGGAACACCGGUGGCGAAGGCGACUUUCUGGACAGUAACUGACGUUGAGGCACGAAAGUGUGGGGAGCAAACA